rnacentral:lncRNA from 1 species
CUCGAACGAACGGACCCGAUACCGUAAAAUAAAAAUUAAAACUACAUAUCUUUGUAUAAUAACUGAGUAGGAUCUGUCCAAUAACCAGGCAUAUUAUUUUAAAACUAUUUGUUGAACUGGUCUACAGAACUGCUGCGGAGGCGCUCUGUUCGUACUGUUCAGACAUAUAAAAAACAGCUGAUUACACUCGAGGCAAUCGAAUGAGGGGGGAUUACACGAAUUUAUGUAUGUGCUGGUAGAUUCUGCCGAUAGCCGGAGCACCUCUUGAGAUCUAAGGGUGCAGUUGAAUCCGUGUACAUUACUGUGCAUGCAUGUCAUAGGUCCACAAUGAUGUUAUAUGCUGAAUAAUAAAAAAAAAGGCCCGGUACUAGGGUAAAAAAAACACUUGCAGUAAGACUUUUGAUUCAAGUAUGUAAAUUUUCCUGGUGGCGGUAGAUGCUAAGUGAUGGAUCUAGGCGGAGGUUGGAUCCGGAGUAAGAACCCUUUUUGAAAAAAAAACAACAGUACUGAACACAUCCCCCUGUACAUUUUUUAUCUGUUGGAACGCCAUACAUUAUUGUGGGGUACGUAAAGUCGUUUGAAAUUUGAAUUUGGUAGCAAGAGGGUAAAUACAAGUGGUACAAAAUGGACCCGCAUCAUCUGUACAUAACGCGAAGCAUUUUUGUUGAUAUACAUUUUAAUAAAUUUGUGUUUUUUUCAGUGGCAUUUGAACGCGUCUGGAUGCAUCUACUCGGCAUGCAGUACAAAUCUUUUGUGUUUGAAACACACCACGUGCAUUCGAUGAUAAGUUUCGGUAGAGAAGGGUUUUUUUGUUGCAUUUUUUCAGAGCAGCACAGUAUAUAUAGAUGUACCUACCCGAGAAUCAUUCUUGAUGUCCAUUUUUUUGUUAAUAAAUAUUCUUCUUUCUUUUUUAAAAUAACCUUUAUAAAUAACCAACUUUUGAGAAUUUUCGAAAACAGGAAAACGUUAAAUUACGUCAUAGGUUCCAAGGUCGGCAUAGAUUCAGUGCAAUAAAGGAACAGACCUUGUUAGCGCAAUUACAAUAAUUUGUUAGACCGCACGGUCUUUUUUAUUACCCAUAAUAAGACUAAGAAC